rnacentral:tRNA from 1 species
GCCCGGGUGGUCUAGUGGUAUGAUUCGCGCUUAGUAUGUUCAGCCUUAAAAUCAUAUAACCACAAUUCACAAUUUACUAACAAUUCCUCCAGGGGUUCACCCAAAGCAUUGACUGCGCGAGGUCCCCGGUUCGAUCCCGGGCUCGGGCC